GCCCCCGUGGCGGAAUUGGUAGACGCGCCAGACUCAAAAUCUGGUGGCCUUUGGGCCGUGUCUGUUCGAGUCAGACCGGGGGCACCA
rnacentral:tRNA from 1 species